GGGCCGAUGUCGGUAGCGACGAGCCCAGUCCUCCGCUGGCCUCGGCUUUUAGUUGUGGUGGGGAAAGGUGCGCCUCUUCCUCCAGACAAAUCCAGGUUUUCCCGGGUAAAUCAGUUUUAAAACGUUGCAAUGAUAAAAAAGGGGUGUUUGAAGCCCCGUCUGUUUAUUGUGUGUUUGCGUGCGAGGUGGCGUGCUGGGUUUCUGAUUCAUGGCUGGAGCCCUGAGCGCUCCUGCAGUGUCGCCGUAACUGAAACAUGCAGGUGGAUCUGGGCUGAUCCUUGCUUGUUUCCUGAUUAAAAGCGCCGUGGUCAUCUGGAAGGCGGGUGACUGAUUUGGCUUCUUAUAUCCCUGAUGUAUUUCCACUCCCUGCUCCUUUCAGUUCUUGAAUCACAACCACAACUCAGUGCCUGCCUUCCCGCUCUUUGCUUUCUUUUUCAGUGGAGCAUCCUAUUAAGGAUGUGUUAAUCAAAGGCACUUGUGGUAAAGCUGGGAGAGAGAGGGAGGUGAAGACAAGACAUAAGUUCUGUGAUCAAAUAAAGCUGUCCUGGGGAUGUUCCUUAGAAUCUCAGUAUUAGUCAAAAUGCUGUUACAGUAUUCUCAGGAAACGAUUUGUCUUUAUAAUCACAAUUAAUUAUCAGUUAUUGCUAGUGAUGUCAAAGAGCAAGUAUGGCAUCCUCUUUACAGCACAGAGUUGAUAGUGGCUUUCUCCCCUUGGUUUCACGGGGAUCAUUGUGACAAGGGAUACGCUUGGGCUUCUGAAGCUGUGGCUAAACUCUGAGCUCAGGCAGUGUCUUCUUGGAACCAGAUGCAUUUUGGUCACCAAAACUCAUUGCCCAAAAGAUUGCUUUCUAAUUAACAUGAAAUAAGUUUCACUUUAAACAUAAGUUUUAACAAAUAAAAAACAAAUAUGUUUAUAUAACCAGACUCCCAUGCCAAGAUUAUAAAUUACAUCUCAUCUAAUCUCCAUGAAAUAAAGUUUUAAUAAAUAAGAAACAAAUAAGUUAUUACAGCUAAGAUGUGGCUAUAUGUCCUGUGUAGUCUUCUGUAACAUGCAAAUAAGUUUAUUUCAACGUGUUUCCUUUCAUAUGUUAAAUGUUUCCUUCCAAAUGAUAAAUGUUAAACAGUUAUCAUUCUUCCUACAAAAGAGAGCAGUAGGGUGAGAAACAAACUCUCCUCAGCUGUCACUUUUGUUCGAGAAAACAAAAUCCCUAUUUCAGAAAGACAAGGUAUUACUCUUCCGGUUUUCUAAAUUGUUUCUUCUUUUGUAUAAAGCUAUCCAGUGGUAGAAUUAAUAUAAAACUAUCCAGUGGUAGAAUUAACGUUGCCGGUGCAAAUACAUCUUCUGCUUGAACUUUAUCUAGGAUCCCAAGUAGCUUGGCUGAAAGUGUGUCUAGAAAUCAUCAACAAUUUUACAUGAAUAUCAUAAUUGUUUAAAUGACCAAUCCAAGGUGGCAGCUGCCCCAUUCCCUUUGCUACUGAACACAUUAAAAACUGGUUGAAUUAAAACUUGACAGCUAGCAAGUACUGAAGUAUGUGAGAUCACUAUCUAGAUGAAGUGCCCGGUUGAGAAAAUUUAGAUACAAUAUGAGAGAACGGUGUUUUUUACACCGUUUUACAAGCCAGUUUUCUAUCGAGUCUCUGUUCAUCCUUCUUAAGUGAUGUAAACAACUUUCCUUCUAAAUUUUGUGAGACACUACAGUGACCUUCUUUGAUUAGAGAUAGUAUUGUGUUGGAUGGAAAACCAGACUCCUACACCAAGACUAUAAAUUACAUCUCAUCUAAUCUCCAAGAAAUAAACAGAAGUCUUUUUAAUUAAAUUGGAUUAGGUCCAUAGGAAACAUACACAGGAUUCUGUCAGAGCCACUAGUUAAAGUCUUAAAAAAAAAAAAAUUUUUUUUCUAACUACCUGUUCUUGAAGGAUCUAAUCUCAAAAUCUCAGCCUUUAGGAUGAAGUACUGUGGAAGUUCCAGUCUGAAAAUGUAGCUUGCAUUCAGAAAAUAACUACAAUUUUUGAAAAAUUAUAGCUCUUGCAACUCUUUCAAGACAAUUUGCACCAUGCGACUGUCAGCACAUGCAUUCACUACAUAGAGAUACUGCUUUAAUUUAUGUUACAGGUUAUCUUUACUUGCUUGUGACAGGUUUAACAGUGUUUAGCCAAGAAGUAAUACCAAUCUGAAAGAAUAGAUGUGGGUAUGUAAACCAUGUAAUAGCAUGCACAAAGCAGUAUCUGCCAUGCUACUGCUCUCUGGGAAAGCAAAUCAAAAUUGAUUUGUGAAUCUUAUUCCCCAACAAUGGUGAUGGAUGUGUAAAGGAAGCUUGCUUAAAGUCUGGUCCUUUGAAGUAUGUGUGUUCAGAAGACUAGCCAGGAACCAUCAUUCAAAAAGUCUCCAGUUUAUGGCUUUCCUGUAGAACUUGGAAUUUUUUUAUUGGUUAAAAUGAAAUGAACUCUUACCUACUUUCUAGUUGUAUUGAAUUGUGGUUGCUAGGUGGUGAAAUUUGCAAAUAUGUUCUACUUGUCCAAUAUAAAAAUGAUGAGUCCUUCCAUAUACUUGCAUUGUAUGUCUUUCUUGGCUUCAUAAGGAUAAUAUUUUCUUUGGCAGAAACAUUCUGUUCAGAGUGUUGCACUAGAAGGCUGUAAAACUGUUUGCUUUUAAAUUCUUUGUCUUCAUGACCGUGACAGCUUCUGGCUGUGAAGGUAGAAUUUGUUUCCAGAAACAUUGAUGAGUGCUACAACUGGCCUGCACUUAAUCUCGGACUUUGAUAGGGAUCAGUAAUGCUUCGGUGGAAACGAACUGUCACUGAACCAAAGAUGAAUGGGCUGCUUGAAGAGAACUCUAAUUUGCAUGAGGUCUGUGCAAGAACUGACAAAAAGUGACUUGCUCAACUCCUGAAUCAGACAUUUUGUGUGACAUCAGCAAGUACAGCAUAGGGCUUAUGUUGGAUGCAUAGUACUCCCAUUCUAGGCGUGAUACAAAAUACCUGGCAGGGAGUCCUUAUCUCCUCUGUUCUUUGGAGGCAGUAACUACCUGUGUCCUUAGCAGCUCUCUUCUCUCCCUGGAGCCUGAAAGAGGUCAGGACUCAUGUUAGAGGAUAUGAGAGAUGCAGAUGUGUAAGGAAUGCUAUAAAUCUUGGUGGUAUAAAGAUUUUAUUAUAUUAUUUAUUGCAGUAGGAACCUCUUCAGUGGUAGGGCUAAAAGGAUAACGGAGGCAACUGAGAUCCCUCUGCUUGCAUACUUCCUUUGAAAGUUGUGCAAGUGACUAUUCCCAGUUUUUGUUUUAAUGUAAGUCUGGUAGCUUCCAAUUGCAUUGGUAAUAUGAGCAAAUCUCUCACAGUUUUAAUAGGAGAUGUUCAUAUUUAAUGUCUGCAGCAUGCGCUGUUUAUACAUAAGGAUAUCAUCACCAUGAAAAUUAAAAGACAUGAGUAGUUCCACGUUUCUUCUUAUGGAGAAUUUAAAUACAAGUAAACUGGAAAAAAAAGCAGUCUGAUUAUUAAGAUGAAAUACUUUGGCCUUCAUGUUAAGUUGUUAUCAUACCUAAGACGAAGAGUUUGCAACAUGCUGGUAAAAAAAUGUUUCAGGUGCCAAGAUAAUUAUUGAUGUUUGAUAUACAUGUCUUGUUCCAUCUCCAAAGUUCAUCAGCCAUCCCUACAAGGCAACAUCGAGUUCCAACUCCUACUGUAGCUGAAAGCAUGUUUACCUUUCAACUCUGGGAACAAGAAUUGUCCUCUUGGGUAAUUGUAUGAAAUAAUAGACUUCACACAUCUGAUCAGUCCUAUGUGUUGUUUUUUACUAUGUUACUCUAAUAAUUGCAGCAUUAUUUAUUUAUGGUUGCACAUUUGUAAUAAUCUUGCAAGUUUAUAAUAUUAGAAAGAUAUAUAUUUAGGAAAAAGAGUGAAAGUUGUUAGUGUUUUUCUAUCAGUAGUCUUCAUAUAGUCAGACCAAAUAAAACAUACAACCUCUCCUUUUAUAACACACAGACUCCCCAGGGCAGUGGGCACAACCUCGAGCUGCCAGAGCUGUAGGAGCAUUUGGAUGCUGAUCUUGGACAUAGGGCUUGUGGUUGAGUGGUGCUGUGUGGAACCAGGAGUUGGACUCAGUGAUCCCUGCGGUUCCCUUCCAACUCGGGAUGUUCUGCAAUUCUAAGAAAAGAUAGAGUGUGUAAUCAGCCUAUACGAAUUUUACUGGAAGAAACAAAGCAGAUGCUCAUUUUAUAUUUAUUCAUAGAAAUAUUUUCAAUUUGAAUAGCUGGGGCCUGAAUUCCAAAGACAAACUGAUAAUGUUUUCUUGCUUUUCUCCAAGGAAGUUAACAGAUCAUCUAUUUUUAUCGAUUAUAUUUUUUCUCUUAUUCAUUUCUCUUGUUUUGUCUGUUCAUUUAUGGUCUGUCUUUUGAAUGUUCCUCAGUGAUUUUCAUUGUCUAUUUUUAUGUCACUUGGCAAAAACCAAAGUGAUAAAUUACAGACUCUUUGUUACAGAGAACCAUCACCAAUAUCUUUACUGUUGUGGCACUUUUAUGGGAUGUCUUGUCUUUUCCUUUCAGUUAUGAAUGACAGCCUGCAUGAGAUUUGAAAAUGAGAUGGGAAAAGGGAAGCAUCGUAGCUAUUUGUAAAGCUGUAGUUGCAAUGUAUAGAAGGAAACGUGAUUAAAAUCUUUAAAUGAAUGCUUGAUCCCUUCCUGUUCUGCGUCAUUCUGUUUUUAUGAGCUGAUCAGGAUUAUGUCCUGUCAUUAUUUGGAGUUCUAGUAUAGUUACUUUUCUUUAAGUUUUUUCCCACUGUAAUUUCUGAUCCCAUUGCCAAGAUUAAUGACUCUUGUCUUACAACAGCACAGAGGGAUUUA